CAGGUCUCCAAGGUGAACAGCCUCUAGUCGAUGGACCAAUGUAGGAUCAACUAAGAACGGCAUGGCCGUUCUUAGUUGGUGGGGCGAUUUGUCUGGUUAAUUCUGAUAACGAAUGAGACUAGCCUAUUAAAUAGGUGCGUGGUUCUCUGCACCUUGCAUCCAACUUAGAGGGACAAGCGGCUCUUAGCCGCAUGAAACUGAGCAAUAGCAGGUCUGUGAUGCCCUUAGAUGUCCGG
rnacentral:rRNA from 1 species